rfam:Tupaia chinensis contig4973, whole genome shotgun sequence.
AUAAUGGCUCUAUUGAGAGCCACAAGAGGACCCUUUAAGAAUGUUU